UACAGAGGUCUCAAGCGUUGUUCGGAUUCAUUGGGCGUAAAGGGUGCGUAGGUGGCGCGGUAAGUCGGGUGUGAAAUCUCGGAGCUUAACUCCGAGAUUGCAUUCGAUACUGCCGUGCUUGAGGACUGGAGAGGAGACUGGAAUUCAUGGUGUAGCAGUGAAAUGCGUAGAGAUCAUGAGGAAGACCAGUGGCGAAGGCGGGUCUCUGGACAGUUCCUGACACUGAGGCACGAAGGCCAGGGGAGCAAACGGG
rnacentral:rRNA from 1 species